rnacentral:rRNA from 1 species
GGGGCAAUGCGGCNUGCUAUACAUGCAGUAGAACGCUGAAGAGAGGAGCUUGCUCUUCUUGGAUGAGUUGCGAACGGGUGAGUAACGCGUAGGUAACCUGCCUUGUAGCGGGGGAUAACUAUUGGAAACGAUAGCUAAUACCGCAUAACAAUGGAUGACACAUGUCAUUUAUUUGAAAGGGGCAAUUGCUCCACUACAAGAUGGACCUGCGUUGUAUUAGCUAGUAGGUGAGGUAAUGGCUCACCUAGGCGACGAUACAUAGCCGACCUGAGAGGGUGAUCGGCCACACUGGGACUGAGACACGGCCCAGACUCCUACGGGAGGCAGCAGUAGGGAAUCUUCGGCAAUGGGGGCAACCCUGACCGAGCAACGCCGCGUGAGUGAAGAAGGUUUUCGGAUCGUAAAGCUCUGUUGUAAGUCAAGAACGGGUGUGAGAGUGGAAAGUUCACACUAUGACGGUAGCUUACCAGAAAGGGACGGCUAACUACGUGCCAGCAGCCGCGGUAAUACGUAGGUCCCGAGCGUUGUCCGGAUUUAUUGGGCGUAAAGCGAGCGCAGGCGGUUUGAUAAGUCUGAAGUUAAAGGCUGUGGCUCAACCAUAGUUCGCUUUGGAAACUGUCAAACUUGAGUGCAGAAGGGGAGAGUGGAAUUCCAUGUGUAGCGGUGAAAUGCGUAGAUAUAUGGAGGAACACCGGUGGCGAAAGCGGCUCUCUGGUCUGUAACUGACGCUGAGGCUCGAAAGCGUGGGGAGCGAACAGGAUUAGAUACCCUGGUAGUCCACGCCGUAAACGAUGAGUGCUAGGUGUUGGAUCCUUUCCGGGAUUCAGUGCCGCAGCUAACGCAUUAAGCACUCCGCCUGGGGAGUACGACCGCAAGGUUGAAACUCAAAGGAAUUGACGGGGGCCCGCACAAGCGGUGGAGCAUGUGGUUUAAUUCGAAGCAACGCGAAGAACCUUACCAGGUCUUGACAUCCCGAUGCUAUUUCUAGAGAUAGAAAGUUACUUCGGUACAUCGGUGACAGGUGGUGCAUGGUUGUCGUCAGCUCGUGUCGUGAGAUGUUGGGUUAAGUCCCGCAACGAGCGCAACCCCUAUUGUUAGUUGCCAUCAUUCAGUUGGGCACUCUAGCGAGACUGCCGGUAAUAAACCGGAGGAAGGUGGGGAUGACGUCAAAUCAUCAUGCCCCUUAUGACCUGGGCUACACACGUGCUACAAUGGUUGGUACAACGAGUUGCGAGUCGGUGACGGCGAGCUAAUCUCUUAAAGCCAAUCUCAGUUCGGAUUGUAGGCUGCAACUCGCCUACAUGAAGUCGGAAUCGCUAGUAAUCGCGGAUCAGCACGCCGCGGUGAAUACGUUCCCGGGCCUUGUACACACCGCCCGUCACACCACGAGAGUUUGUAACACCCGAAGUCGGUGAGGUAACCUUUGGAGCCAGCCGCCUAAGGUGA